rnacentral:rRNA from 1 species
ACGAAGGGGGCUAGCGUUGCUCGGAAUUACUGGGCGUAAAGCGCACGUAGGCGGACCGAUAAGUCGGGGGUGAAAUCCUGGAGCUCAACUCCAGAACUGCCUUCGAAACUGCCGGUCUUGAGUUCGGGAGAGGUGAGUGGAACUGCGAGUGUAGAGGUGAAAUUCGUAGAUAUUCGCAAGAACACCAGUGGCGAAGGCGGCUCACUGGCCCGAUACUGACGCUGAGGUGCGAAAGCGUGGGGAGCAAACAGGA